GAUGAACGCUGGCGGCGUGCCUAAUACAUGCAAGUCGAGCGAACGGACGAGAAGCUUGCUUCUCUGAUGUUAGCGGCGGACGGGUGAGUAACACGUGGAUAACCUACCUAUAAGACUUGGAUAACUUCGGGAAACCGGAUCUAAUACCGGAUAAUAUUUUGAACCGCAUGGUUCAAAAGUGAAAGACGGUCUUGCUGUCACUUAUAGAUGGAUCCGCGCUGCAUUAGCUAGUUGGUAAGGUAAAGGCUUACCAAGGCAACGAUGCAUAGCCGACCUGAGAGGGUGAUCGGCCACACUGGAACUGAGACACGGUCCAGACUCCUACGGGAGGCAGCAGUAGGGAAUCUUCCGCAAUGGGCGAAAGCCUGACGGAGCAACGCCGCGUGAGUGAUGAAGGUCUUCGGAUCGUAAAGCUCUGUUAUUAGGGAAGAACAUAUGUGUAAGUAACUGUGCACAUCUUGACGGUACCUAAUCAGAAAGCCACGGCUAACUACGUG
rnacentral:rRNA from 1 species